rnacentral:rRNA from 1 species
CAGUCGCCGCGGUAAAACGGAGGGUGCAAGCGUUAAUCGGAAUUACUGGGCGUAAAGCGCACGCAGGCGGUCUGACAAGUCAGAUGUGAAAUCCCCGGGCUUAACCUGGGAACUGCAUUUGAAACUGUCAGGCUGGAGUCUUGUAGAGGGGGGUAGAAUUCCAGGUGUAGCGGUGAAAUGCGUAGAGAUCUGGAGGAAUACCGGUGGCGAAGGCGGCCCCCUGGACAAAGACUGACGCUCAGGUGCGAAAGCGUGGGGAGCAAACAGGAUUAGAUACCCGCGUAGUCCCUGUCUCUUAUAA